rnacentral:rRNA from 1 species
AUUGAACGCUGGCGGCAGGCCUAACACAUGCAAGUCGAACGAGUGGCGGACGGGUGAGUAAUGUCUGGGAAACUGCCUGAUGGAGGGGGAUAACUACUGGAAACGGUAGCUAAUACCGCAUACCAUCGGAUGUUCCCAGAUGGGAUUAGCUAGUAGGUGGGGAAAAGGCUCACCUCGGCGACGAUCCCUAGCUGGUCUGAGAGGAUGACCAGCCACACUGGAACUGAGACACGGUCCAGACUCCUACGGGAGGCAGCAGUGGGGAAUAUUGCACAAUGGGCGCAAGCCUGAUGCAGCCAUGCCGCGUGUAUGAAGAAGGUCUUCGGGUUGUAAAGUACUGUCAGCGGGGAGGCGUUACCUGCAGAAGAAGCACCGGCUAACUCCGUGCCAGCAGCCGCGGUAAUAC